rnacentral:tRNA from 1 species
CGGGUAUAAUUUAGUGGUAAAA